GGUUGAGCGUCUAGCCCAUCUCUGCGUGACUUCCGCCAGCGUUUAGAGCGUUUUCGGGGUCCGAGUUGAAGAGCAAAACCAAGUGAAGGAAACUUCACUAAGUUCAGGGUGACAAGGGAGGAAGUACAGAGACUGCACUUUAAAUUCUGGAUGACAGACCUAUCAGGACUGAGUGGACCUUUGAGUGACAAGAUGGGGGUGUUCCAAAGAGACCAUGGCAGCCUGCAGCUAGGACUUUAAUAAACAGAGCGCUUAAAAAGCACUGUCUGGAUAUCUUCAGAGGGAAAAAGGAGAAAGUUAACUGAAUUGGUGACACUUCGGGUCUCUCACAGAGGAAGAGACCACCAAACCAACAGAAGCCACCAGGACAGCACACAGCCAUUCCAAAAUUCCAGACCAGGAUCAUUCCAGAAAAGCCUUACAUCUCAGUCCAGUAUAUGGAUGGUUUUGUAAGAUGACCUAUGAUUUUUCUGUUCCUCCUUCCUGCCCCUAACUUCAGAGAAACAGACCUAGAAAGAGGGAAGGAAGGAGUGAAAAAGCGUGCCAUACUUUAUCUUCUCCCCUUCUGUUUUAAACUAGACAAAUCUAUAUUUUAAUUAUUAUAAGUAACCAGAAAGUUAUAUGGUCUGGCCAGGAUGGCAUUAAAGAAAAUGAGAGAGAAAAGUUUAAGAUAGCAUGGUUGGAGACAAUAAGUAGAAGAAACCAAGUAGUUCAAGUUUUAUAACGCUCUAUCUUAUAAACACUCUUGAACCAAUAAUAAUGCUAUUACUGAAAUGCUACACACAAUUGAAGACUACUUGUUAGACCAAGACCUUAAAAACUUCUUUACUGAUUAUUCCCAAUGUGUGGCCCUGGUAAUCAUUGAAGAAUCAUUGUAUUGACUAUUAAACAUCUAGGGAUCACCUGUUUAAAUCAAGUUAACAAAACACUUACUUAACAAAUAUAUAUUGAUUGCCUAUUAUGAAGUAGAUGCUAUAGUAGGUGCUGGCAGUAUAAACAUGAAAAGAGACAUUGUGUGUGCAUAUUAAUAUACAGCAAAUUAAACUUCAGCCAGAGAAGUACUUUACUAGAAGGUUGAUAGAAGUGUGGUGGUAGCUUGCAGGAGGAAGCAGUUAGCCUCCUUGGAAAUGAGUAAUCUUCACAGAAAGUAUGACAUUUGACCUGCUUCUUGGAGAAGAUGCAUAUUAAACCUAUUAAAUCCAUGUCAGCCUUUAACACCUUUGCUCAGAUUAGUUUCUCGAGCUGUUUUCCCACCUGGUGAGCAGAUAAGAGCAGGACAGGAAAGUUCUGAUGAAAGGAAGAAGUGCCAGAGAGAGAAGGCCUUGCAAGCAAAGAAGCCUGACAGGCAGGAGCCCCUGAGUAUCCUAAGGAGAAGUACCAGCGAUUUAGGGAAGAAAAUUGCUGCCAGAAGUGCAGGAAAUAAAAAUUCUGACCUAGAUCA
rnacentral:lncRNA from 1 species